rnacentral:rRNA from 1 species
UACGUAGGGGGCAAGCGUUGUCCGGAAUCAUUGGGCGUAAAGCGCGUGUAGGCGGCUCGAUAAGUCUGCUGUGAAAGUCCAGGGCUCAACCCUGGGAUGCCGGUGGAUACUGUCGAGCUCGAGUCCGGAAGAGGCGAGUGGAAUUCCUGGUGUAGCGGUGAAAUGCGCAGAUAUCAGGAGGAACACCUGUGGCGAAGGCGGCCCCCUGGGCCGGCCCUGGACACUGAGACGCGAAGGCGUGGGGAGCGAACAGG